rnacentral:snRNA from 1 species
GUGCUCGCUUCAGCAGCACAUAUACUUAAA